UGCAUUUAACAUCUAUGGAAUCUUUGAGAGAUCAGAGAGUGCCUUCGGGAAUCAUAAGAU
rnacentral:rRNA from 1 species